CUAAGAGAUGAGCUCCCCUGCUGUCACUCUUAUUCUCCCGCUGCAAGAAUGUGAAUUUCAAAUUUUUAUCCAAAGCGUCAGCGCCAUAAAACGUGCUUUCACUCUCGGCUCCCAAAGUGUCUCGUCAUUUGCUUUCAGUACACCACCAGCUCACAUCGACAGCAUUCGUGAUCCUGAAACUCCAGUCCAUGUUUUCAGUGCGGCUUGGUUUGCACUAGUACCGCACCUGCUGCAAUUAGCGGGACCUGGGUUGAAUGAAAACACUCAUGAGGACAAGAAUGAAAGAUGGAUCAGAACAUUUGUCAACAAAAUAGUUAGUCUUCAUUGCUGUUGGUUGUAAAAAAUUUCUUGGCACUAGCCCCCGGUUAACAGGAGAAUGUCACAUGCUACUAGUACCUAACUCGUCAAGAAGUCGGAGAAGGUUUGCCUCACAGUUCUGAGGUCCCAAGUUCAAAUCUGGUUUCCCUGUUUGGAGUUUGUGUUCUCCCUUAUCCACCAAACCGACUGACACCUGGUCCAGAACGAAAGUGGGGCGAUGGGGGGGGAUCGUCCAUCCAAUCGGAUCCAUUAUCGAGGGACGGCUGCCGAGUCGUGCUGACGGAGGCCCGAAGAAAAGGACAGCAGGCAACAUUUGCACAGAGACGCAUUGCUAGCAGAGCAUACAUCAGGAGAGAGAGAGAGAGAGAGAGAGAGAGAGAGCGCAUCACCUCGCCUGUCACGGAUCUCCUCUAAAUCAUCCCCCUCUCACGCCGCAGCCUGAUCCCCUCGCCGUACAUUUUGAGGCUAUCAAGUGGCACUGAAAGUCACACUUGUCACAAGGGGCCGUGCCGCAUCAUGCCCGCUGCAGAUGUUGGGCGACCCGCACAUCCCCACCCGUCACCGCCACCAGCAUCGCGAUUUUUUUCACCAACGUGAGUAAUGCAACACGCGCACCUCUUUGCACUUGAUCUGUUCCGCCCGUCGGAUCGCAUACCGAAACCGGCGCCAAGUCUCCCGGCUAGCGGCCGUCUCGGUGUGAGCGCUUCCUGUCUUGAGUUGGCACAAAAUGUGUGAAAUAUGAGGAGGUGACCCGCCGCCAUCUGCCCGAGUGUGAAAAUGUAGCGGAUGAUGCAGCUCCUUUACUAGUUACACUGUUGGGGAAUAACAAAAUGCAUGAACUGUAACUACACUGUAAUUACAAGAUUCAUGUAAUUGUAAUCCAUUACAUUCCUGGGAGAAAAUAUCUAAUUAAAUUACAAGUGAUUUUGUAAGUUUUAUCAUGACAAAUUUUAGGGGAAAAAAAACCUCAUCUACAGACAACGCCUGUGAUUGGCUUUCUCUGGUCACGUGCUGCUGUUGUCUCAAACGUGACAUAUUUUUCCAAAUAUGACCUCCAAGUGCAAAUUUAAGGUGUAACGUAUUUUAAUCUGAUAUUUUGAAAAGGUUAGCCCCAUAUUUAAAUUAAUAUACACAAAAUAAGUUAACAGUUUCAUUGUUAUCAUUAUUUAUUUAUUUAUUAUUUAUUUUUUUAAUGGAACAUUCACCCGUCUGGAUUUUCUUAUGAAGCAAUAUUGUCAAAAUAUUUCAUAUUUAUCUUUGGGUCAACAUGGUAACGCAAUACUGCAUGUGUAUGAUAUAUUUAUAUGUAUGUUUGUAUAAUGCAACAAGCACAUUUUUUAUUCCGUAUUUACAUUUUAUCAUGUUUUUUUUAUCAGUUCAACUGUGGAAAGUGGUUAAAAAAUGAUCUAUGCUUUGAAUCUACUUUUUUUCUUUAGGAAACAUCCCAGAGUCCUAUCAGUUAUGUAAUUGGUUAUUACUAUGUAAUAAGUCAUUGAAAUACUGUUGUUGCACAGUUAUUACAUUUUUGAACAGGGUAAUUGUCAACAGCCGCAUUUCCAAAGUCGUUUUCCGCAGAGCGGUUGUACACCAUUUAAAUAUGGAUGCACACUACAAAGCCGCAUCCUCUCCCACCCGCUGUACAUAUUUUGAAAGGAAUUCUCAGUCUUCGCUGCCUUAACCCCGUGAAGACGCCCCCCCCUCGCUCCGUCAGCGUUGCCGAUCGCUCUUUAUUCCGGCGUGUUUUUGAAUCAGCCCGUCCGCGGGGCGACGAAUUAGAUGUAAAUUCGCACGUGGGCCUCGCUGUCAAUCACGAGCGAGGCAAUCGGCGGGCCGGGGAAAAAACGGUCGACGCGUCUGGCCGAUAAGCGGCCAAAUGUUCUCCGCCCGGGCUGUCUCGUAAGGGAAUGUGAAUAAUUUUUUUCCGCUCGCGUCUAGACGCUGCACUCUUCUUGACUUUAGUGCCAAAGGACGCAUUCCAAUCCUAAUAUGUUUGCAAAGUGGCUCUCUUCAAAGCGUGCGUCUAUUCAAUGUUUUCAGCCCGCCAGCGUCAUUGGAAAUGCCGCGAUUUAUUCUGGAAAAUGCGCCCUUAAUGAAAAAACACAAACUCCUGUCGCUGUGACAUGAAUGCGCAAAGCAGUGCGCUUGCUCCUUGGUUACAUCCAUAUUGAUGAACAUCUACAUCCAAUAAGUUGCUCCAUUGAUUCUUCAUUAUUCCAAUUCCCGGGACCGUUCCGAUGUGGCGCGGCGGCGGCGUGUACGCAAUUAAUUUACGUUUCUAUUAAAACGGAACCAUUAAAGGCACGCUGCAAAACAGUUCAUAAUUAAAGAAUUGCUGCACAGCUAUCAGGCGAAAGGGUCAUUAGUAUU